rnacentral:rRNA from 1 species
UGGGGAAUAUUGGACAAUGGGCGAAAGCCUGAUCCAGCCAUGCCGCGUGUGUGAAGAAGGUCUUCGGAUUGUAAAGCACUUUAAGUUGGGAGGAAGGGUUGUAACCUAAUACGUUGCAAUCUUGACGUUACCGACAGAAUAAGCACCGGCUAACUCUGUGCAAGCAGCCGCGGUAAUACAGAGGGUGCAAGCGUUAAUCGGAAUUACUGGGCGUAAAGCGCGCGUAGGUGGUUCGUUAAGUUGGAUGUGAAAUCCCCGGGCUCAACCUGGGAACUGCAUUCAAAACUGACGAGCUAGAGUAUGGUAGAGGGUGGUGGAAUUUCCUGUGUAGCGGUGAAAUGCGUAGAUAUAGGAAGGAACACCAGUGGCGAAGGCGACCACCUGGACUGAUACUGACACUGAGGUGCGAAAGCGUGGGGAGCAAACA